rnacentral:rRNA from 1 species
UACGGAGGGUGCAAGCGUUGUUCGGAAUAACUGGGCGUAAAGCGCACGUAGGCGGCCUUGUAAGUUGGGGGUGAAAUCCCGGAGCUUAACUCCGGAACUGCCUCCAAAACUACAAAGCUCGAGGAUGUGAGAGGAGAGUGGAAUUCCGAGUGUAGAGGUGAAAUUCGUAGAUAUUCGGAAGAACACCAGUGGCGAAGGCGACUCUCUGGCACAUUUCUGACGCUGAGGUGCGAAAGCGUGGGGAGCAAACAGG